UAACCGUACUUGUCAGCAGUUUGUUGGCAUUAGGUGUUUUUAAUACGGCUCAGUUUAAACUUCAGCAGACAAAACACAGAACUUCCGGUCUUUCUUGGGCGACAAUCGCCGUCUUUACGCAACUGAUCUAACGGUAGCUUUUUAAUAGCCAUCCAGCAACCAGCCUAACUCCAAUAACGUUACUCGGCAAUGCUGGACACACUGUCAUAUCUAACUGCUGAGGGGAAAGGCUACAUCGCGUUUUACGUACCACAACAUUUAACACACACUAUCGAGGAUUAUCAGUGGCCUUUAACAAUUUUAACCAGCAGCAAAUGACACACGUUAACGUUAGCUUUUCGAUCCCCAAGAUGUUAACGCUUUAGUGUUCGGCCACUCACCCGAGGACCCCAGGGUUGUACUUCCUCGUCUUCCAGGGCGUCCAAGUGCUCGCAUAAUUGCCAUUAGUGCAGUUUGAAAGCAAGUACCGAGGGGUGAACCUGAUGGCGCUUCGCGCAAAUCUGCUGUAAAUUGAAAGCCGGGUGCUCCUUCCUCUCAAGUGAGCAGCUGGAAGGGGGGCUGUCCGUCCCGGAUUCCUGUGAGGAGGACGAGGAGGAGACGGAUCCCGUCUUCUGGGGCAAGGUUUUCCCCUCACCUGGUUCAGCUCCGUUUGCCGUGGAGA